rnacentral:rRNA from 1 species
GGAAUCUUCCACAAUGGGCGCAAGCCUGAUGGAGCAACACCGCGUGAGUGAAGAAGGGUUUCGGCUCGUAAAGCUCUGUUGUUAGAGAAGAACGUGCGUGAGAGUAACUGUUCACGCAGUGACGGUAUCUAACCAGAAAGUCACGGCUAACUACGUGCCAGCAGCCGCGGUAAUACGUAUGGGGCAAGCGUUAUCCGGAUUUACUGGGUGUAAAGGGAGCGUAGGCGGCAUGGCAAGUCAGAAGUGAAAGCCUGGGGCUCAACCCUGGAAUUGCUUUUGAAACUGUCAAGCUAGAGUGUCGGAGGGGUAAGUGGAAUUCCUAGUGUAGCGGUGAAAGGCGUAGAUAUUAGGAGGAACACCAGUGGCGAAGGCGGCUUACUGGACGACUACUGACGCUGAGGCUCGAAAGCAUGGGUAGCGAACA